rnacentral:rRNA from 1 species
CAGGUAACAUUAAAUCGUACCCCAAACCGACACAGGUGGUCAGGUAGAGAAUACCAAGGCGCUUGAGAGAACUCGGGUGAAGGAACUAGGCAAAAUGGUGCCGUAACUUCGGGAGAAGGCACGCUGGCAUGUAGGUGAAGUCCCUCGCGGAUGGAGCUGAAGCCAGUCGAAGAUACCAGCUGGCUGCAACUGUUUAAUAAAAACACAGCACUGUGCAAACACGAAAGUGGACGUAUACGGUGUGACGCCUGCCCGGUGCUGGAAGGUUAAUUGAUGGGGUCAGCCGCAAGGCGAAGCUCUUGAUCGAAGCCCCAGUAAACGGCGGCCGUAACUAUAACGGUCCUAAGGUAGCGAAAUUCCUUGUCGGGUAAGUUCCGACCUGCACGAAUGGCGUAAUGAUGGCCAGGCUGUCUCCACCCGAGACUCAGUGAAAUUGAACUCGCUGUGAAGAUGCAGUGUACCCGCGGCAAGACGGAAAGACCCCGUGAACCUUUACUAUAGCUUGACACUGAACAUUGAGCCUUGAUGUGUAGGAUAGGUGGGAGGCUUUGAAGCGUGGACGCCAGUCUGCGUGGAGCCAUCCUUGAAAUACCACCCUUUAAUGUUUGAUGUUCUAACUCGGCCCCGUGAUCCGGGGUGAGGACAGUGUCUGGUGGGUAGUUUGACUGGGGCGGUCUCCUCCCAAAGAGUAACGGAGGAGCACGAAGGUUAGCUAAUCACGGUCGGACAUCGUGAGGUUAGUGCAAAGGCAUAAGCUAGCUUGACUGCGAGAGUGACGGCUCGAGCAGGUACGAAAGUAGGUCUUAGUGAUCCGGUGGUUCUGAAUGGAAGGGCCAUCGCUCAACGGAUAAAAGGUACUCCGGGGAUAACAGGCUGAUACCGCCCAAGAGUUCAUAUCGACGGCGGUGUUUGGCACCUCGAUGUCGGCUCAUCACAUCCUGGGGCUGAAGUAGGUCCCAAGGGUAUGGCUGUUCGCCAUUUAAAGUGGUACGCGAGCUGGGUUUAGAACGUCGUGAGACAGUUCGGUCCCUAUCUGCCGUGGGCGUUGGAAGAUUGAGAGGGGUUGCUCCUAGUACGAGAGGACCGGAGUGAACGCACCACUGGUGUUCGGGUUGUCAUGCCAAUGGCAUUGCCCGGUAGCUAAGUGCGGAAAAGAUAAGCGCUGAAAGCAUCUAAGCGCGAAACUUGCCUCAAGAUGAGUCUUCCCUGGGCCUUUAAGGCCCCUGAAGGAACGUUUAAGACUAAGACGUUGAUAGGCUGGGUGUGUAAGUGCAGCGAUGCAUUGAGCUAACCAGUACUAAUGAUCCGUGAGGCUUAACCUU